rnacentral:lncRNA from 1 species
CCACCUUCUGGUUUCCAGUCCGCUCUCUCUGUGGACAAUUAGUGUGUUGCAUCUGCUGGUCAGUCAUUCUUUUUGUUGUUGUUGUUUUGGGUUUUGUGGGUUUGUUUUUGUUUUGUUUUUAGACAGGGUUUCUCUGUGCAGCCCUGGAUGUACCGGAACUCUGUAACACGGCUGGCCUGGAACUCAAGAGAUCUGUCUGCCUCAAAUACUGGGAUUAAAGAGAACUUUACGACUGUAAUGGAGGCCAAGGUUGAAGGCAUUGCUGCGUGGCUAGUCUAUUACACGCACAAGAUGGUUACAAGAACACCUAACGGAAUGACCAAGGAUCGAGGAAGCCAUCUGAACCAUGAUGGCCCUUCGCAGAUGACUUAAGAGAGUUUUGCUUAUCUCUUUAUGCGGAUGGACCUCUUUAAUUUGAUCACCAAAUAGUAUGAGAAAACUCUGACACAUUAAAGCAACACACGCCAGGAAAUUAUUGAUCACCAGGCCAGUGCUUGAGCCACAAAUAAUCUAUAGUUG